GAAAGAGGCCCGGGGCAAUAGAGACUGCUAAUCCCUACCACCACGGUUAAACUCCGUGGCUCAUUCAAA
rnacentral:tRNA from 3 species